rnacentral:rRNA from 1 species
UCCAUGCCGUAAACGAUGUCAACUAACUGUUGGGCACUUUAGUGCUUAGUGGUGGAGCUAACGUAUUAAGUUGACCGCCUGGGGAGUACGGCCGCAAGGCUAAAACUCAAAAUGAAUUGACGGGGGCCCGCACAAGCGGUGGAGCAUGUGGUUUAAUUCGAUGCAACGCGAAGAACCUUACCUACCCUUGACAUCCAGAGAAUCUGUUAGAGAUAGUGGAGUGCCUUCGGG